rnacentral:rRNA from 1 species
GACGUAGGAUGCAAGCGUUGUCCGGAUUUAUUGGGCGUAAAGAGUUCGUAGGUGGUUUGUUAAGUCUGAUGUUAAAGACUGGGGCUCAACCCUGGGAGUGCAUUGGAUACUGGCGGACUGGAGUGCAGUAGAGGCAAGCGGAAUUCCCAGUGUAGCGGUGAAAUGCGUAGAUAUUGGGAAGAACACCGGUGGCGCAAGCGGCUUGCUGGGCUGUAACUGACGCUGAGGAACGAAAGCUAGGGGAGCGAAUGGG